rnacentral:rRNA from 1 species
UCAGACGAUGCGUCAUGCAUAUCAAUAAGCGGAGGAAAAGAAACUAACAAGGAUUCCCCUAGUAACGGCGAGUGAAGCGGGAAGAGCUCAAAUUUGAAAUCUUAAAGGGUUUCCCUUUACGAAUUGUAGUUUAAAGAAGUGUUUUCUGUUGAGGUUUUGGUAAAAGUUCUUUGGAAUAGGACAUCAUAGAGGGUGAGAAUCCCGUAUUUGACCUUUACUUUCAACUUUGUGAUACACUUUCAAAGAGUCGGAUUGUUUGGGAAUGCAGUCCAAAAUGGGUGGUAAAUUUCAUCUAAAGCUAAAUAUUGGCGAGAGACCGAUAGCGAACAAGUACCGUGAGGGAAAGAUGAAAAGAACUUUGAAAAGAGAGUUAAACAGUACGUGAAAUUGUCAAAAGGGAAGCGUUUGACACCAGUGUUGUUUUUCUGAAAAUCAAUUAAAGAACUGUUUAUGCUAAGCUGGUUAGACUUUAUCAGCUAUCUGUUUAGUUUUGAGCUUUUCUUUAAUGCACUUUUCAGUUAACAAGUCAACAUCAAUUUCUUUUGCUGUAAAAAGCUUGAGGAAGGUGGCUUGAGAUUCGUCUUAAGUGUUUAUAGCCUCUUGCCUAUGCAGUCGGAGAGAUUGAGGUCUGCAGCGUAGAUCCUUCGGGGCUAAAUGCAUUUGUGCUAAGUUAUAGCAUUUUAUAGACAACUUGUUGACUAUGAUUUGUCUUGUAGCUUACUCGCUUAUGUUAUUUUACCUACGCUUAGGAUGUUGAGCGCAUGUCUCUCUCU